rnacentral:tRNA from 1 species
GCUGGUUUGGCUCAGUGGGUAAGAGCAUUGGCCUGUGGACCCAAGAGUCCCAGGUUCAAUUCCGGCCAAGGGCA